ACCAAGACAGCUUUAAUUGUACUUAUUUUUUUAGACAUACACAGGUCCUUACGGUCUUCCUUUGCGCAUGCUGUUAAUACAGAAACCCAUCACAGAGAGGAUUACCCCAUGACAGUCCUUUAGCCCUUCUCCAGGUGCAGAGGUCCCACAGACGUGCAGGGAGCGUUGGGAGUUCCAACAGAAAGCCCUGAGGUCAUGGAGGACUGGAAGUGGCUGGAGAGCAGAGAAGCAAAUCAACGGGAGCAUAUGGCGGGUGAUGUAAUGGGUGUCUCUCCCAUGCAAAAUCCUGCCAGACCCCAGGGUCUUGGUGUCCGACUUUCCCUGCUCCCCUCACAACUGAUCACAGAAUUACAGAAGCACAGAGUGCCUUGGGUUGGAAGGGAGCUGCAGGUCGCCGUGCAGACUUCACGUCCUCCCUUCCCUUGCCUUCCCGCUGCCGGUCCCUGAACAGCAAUCACGCUCAGAGCACGCACGUAAAAUCAGGCUGCUAAUGUAACAGAUAUCUCAGCCCCAAUGACAAUGGAACUUACAAACUGAUUCGGCUUAACCGACUGUGACUGCAAUAGGCUAAUUCCACGUUUCUAAUUAAAUUACAUUAUUUUCUAGGUGGAAGUUUAUGAGCAGAGGUGAAGAGUAAUGAUAUGAGCAAGCCAGAGAACCACGUGUACUUGUCAGAUUCGAGACUCCUGUCUAGAUGCGAUAUUGUUCUCUGUUUCAAACUCCUGACCGAGGCGUUCCUAGCAAUUACUUCCUCUUGGUCUGCAGAACACGUGCAGACAAUUCUCAGCCUUGUCCCCUGGUGCCACUUGUAACACUGGAAGAUACCGACCUUAAUCCACAGCUCCCUGUCCUCAGAGCCAUUAUCGGACGACAAAUCUGCUUGCACCGCCAUCUACACAACGGCCUCUGCUGUUGCUUACAUACAGGCCAUUUCUGCAGCUGGGUGCACCUUCUUGCUACACCUGCACGAGGCAGAGGCAGCAGGGAGAAGGCAAGGAGGGAGGCCAGCCCCCCACCCCCGGUGCUCAGAGUGUCCUACCAGCACUGUGCUAGAGAGGGUGCUCUGCCCUCACUGAACUCACAGCAUCGGUGUUACAUGAAGUUACACCUUUCCUCGCUCUCAGCUUCCUCAUGAAAUGGCGGAACAAUG
rnacentral:lncRNA from 1 species